rnacentral:rRNA from 1 species
CGUAAACAAAGGGAAGCGAGCCUGUGAAGGGGAGCAAAUCCCAAAAAUAACGUCCCAGUUCGGAUUGUAGUCUGCAACCCGACUACAUGAAGCUGGAAUCGCUAGUAAUCGCGGAUCAGAAUGCCGCGGUGAAUACGUUCCCGGGUCUUGUACACACCGCCCGUCACACCAUGGGAGUCGGAAAUGCCCGAAGCCAGUGACCCAACCGUAAGGAGGGAGCUGUCGAAGGUGGAGCCGAUGACUGGGGUGAAGUCGUAACAAGGUAAC